UACGACCAUAUAGUUUUGAAACAUCGGUUUCCGUGCGAUCACCGAAGUUAAGCAGCGUCGAACGUAGUCAGUACCUAAAUGGGUGUUCGCUUGGGAAUACCAGGUUCUGUAA